UAUGCAGAGCUGAGACUCCUGGUAGAGAGAUACUUAAGUUUGGCGCUCCCAAGUCAGCAGUACAAAGUCCUCUCUGUCAAGGAAGAAUGGUUCUCUGUGCAAGUGAUGUGUUUGUCUUGCCUUUGCUCAGCUCAAGGGAGCACCAGUGAAUCAUCCUUUACCAUCACAAGAACGUGGCCGUCGGUUUCUGCUUCGGAAGCUCCUCAGACCGCCUCUGGUCCCUGCUCAAGCACCUCAGGCUGCUCGGAUGUAACGGCAAACGUGCAGAAUGUGUCUGUAUUGCUUCCCAGUCAGCAGUAUUCAGAAAACGGGCUAUACAUCGGGAUUGGUUUAUGUGCAGUACUUCUAGCCAUCCUUAUUUUGGCCCUGUUCCUCGCUAGACAAUAUUUAUACAAUACGAAGAAGACUGGUGACUUUGCAAACUUUGUUGCAUUUUGGAGGCCAGAAGCUGCAGGGAAUCAUAGUGCCCUGGAAGAUGAGAUCCAUGCAGAGGAAAACAUUUAUAUAAUACACUAAGGACUAUAUGCAUGCUUGCCUUUGUCAUCGCUGGGACAUUAAAUAGUUUGCAAAAUGUUAGCUGCUCCCUCUGCUCAGCAGCUAAAUGUGACUGGACUACUGAAGCAUUAUUCACAUCAUUCUAAUAAAACAAAUAAAAGCU
rnacentral:lncRNA from 1 species